UACGGGAGGCAGCAGUGGGGAAUAUUGCACAAUGGGCGCAAGCCUGAUGCAGCCAUGCCGCGUGUAUGAAGAAGGCCUUCGGGUUGUAAAGUACUUUCAGUCGUGAGGAAGGUGUUAAGGUUAAUAACCUUAGCAAUUGACGUUAGCGACAGAAGAAGCACCGGCUAACUCCGUGCCAGCAGCCGCGGUAAUACGGAGGGUGCGAGCGUUAAAUCGGAAUUACUGGGCGUAAAGGGCACGCAGGCGGUUAAUUAAGUUGGAUGUGAAAAUCCCCGGGCUUAAACCUGGGAAUGGCAUUCAAGACUGGUUAGCUAGAGUCUUGUAGAGGGGGUAGAAUUCCAUGUGUAGCGGUGAAAUGCGUAGAGAUGUGGAGGAAUACCGGUGGCGAAAGGCGGCCCCUGGACAAAAGACUGACGCUCAUGUGCGAAAAGCGUGGGGAGCAAAACAGGGAUUAGAUACC
rnacentral:rRNA from 1 species